rnacentral:rRNA from 1 species
UACGUAGGCGGAAAAUUAAGUCAGUAGUGAAAUCCUGCAGCUUAACUGUAGAACUGUUAUUGAUACUGGUUUUCUUGAAUAUAGUUGAGGUAGGCGGAAUGUGUAAUGUAGCGGUGAAAUGCUUAGACAUUACACAGAACACCGAUUGCGAAGGCAGCUUACUAAGCUAUGAUUGACGCUGAGGUACGAAAGCGUGGGGAGCGAACAGGAUUAGAUACCCUGGUAGUCC